rnacentral:rRNA from 1 species
UACGAAGGGGGCUAGCGUUGCUCGGAAUCACUGGGCGUAAAGGGUGCGUAAGCGGGUCUUUAAGUCAGGGGUGAAAUCCUGGAGCUCAACUCCAGAACUGCCUUUGAUACUGAAGAUCUUGAGUUCGGGAGAGGUGAGUGGAACUGCGAGUGUAGAGGUGAAAUUCGUAGAUAUUCGCAAGAACACCAGUGGCGAAGGCGGCUCACUGGCCCGAUACUGACGCUGAGGCACGAAAGCGUGGGGAGCAAACAGG